rnacentral:rRNA from 1 species
ACUGGGCGUAAGCGCACGCAGGCGGUCUGUCAAGUCGGAUGUGAAAUCCCCGGGCUCAACCUGGGAACUGCAUUCGAAACUGGCAGGCUAGAGUCUUGUAGAGGGGGGUAGAAUUCCAGGUGUAGCGGUGAAAUGCGUAGAGAUCUGGAGGAAUACCGGUGGCGAAGGCGGCCCCCUGGACAAAGACUGACGCUCAGGUGCGAAAGCGUGGGGAGCAAACAGGAUUAGAUACCCUGGUAGUCCACGCCGUAAACGAUGUCGACUUGGAGGUUGUGCCCUUGAGGCGUGGCUUCCGGAGCUAACGCGUUAAGUCGACCGCCUGGGGAGUACGGCCGCAAGGUUAAAACUCAAAUGAAUUGACGGGGGCCCGCACAAGCGGUGGAGCAUGUGGUUUAAUUCGAUGCAACGCGAAGAACCUUACCUACUCUUGACAUCCAGAGAACUUUCCAGAGAUGCAUUGGUGCCUUCGGGAACUCUGAGACAGGUGCUGCAUGGCUGUCGUCAGCUCGUGUUGUGAAAUGUUGGGUUAAGUCCCGCAACGAGCGCAACCCUUAUCCUUUGUUGCCAGCGGUUAGGCCGGGAAACUCAAGGAGACUGCCAGUGAUAAACUGGAGGAAGG